CGAUCCCACUCCGUUCCCACGACGCAGGGGCCUCUCGGCCUGGAGGCGCUGCUCCUUGGCCACGACCCCCACGAGCCCGCAACCUUGCAUUCGCUCCCCUCGAUCAAGACUCUGCCUGCAGGAACUCGAGCAGCCACCGCCGCCAUCAACAUCCCCGCACCCCUCCAGGCCUUGUGCAAGCUCAUGGGGCACAUGCUCGGGUCUCCGGCUCUCAGCUACCAGCAGCAGUCUCCUGCUCCCUCGCUCCGGCGGACACGAAGCUUUUGGGUGAUCCUCUCGAAGCGGGAUGAACCACCUCGGCGGCUCCGGCAACAACAGGGAGUGCAGCGUCAUCUGUCCUGGUCUGUAUGGUACUAGCGUUUUUCCUUUGAUUUCUUUCUUGGAUGGGUCUUUGGUUGGAAUUUUUGUUGCCAGUGCCCAGCGGUACCAUUGGUUGGCCCGACAGUACCAUGGCGAAGUAUGGGUAGGCAGUGCAGGGUGUGUUCAACAGCAGUAAGCUAGGUUGCCCUCUAUAUGCCAUACAGUACAUGGCGCGCAGGAUAUAUCCAAAUUAAAGAUUAGGUGGUCUCCUGUUGAAUUUCAAAGGUGCAAGGAUUCUGUAGUACGAGAUCUUAAAGAGAGGGCAGCCAUGGUCACAAGAAUGAAGGUGGAGUGGAGAGAAAGAUGUCUCUCUCUGUGUGGGCUUGCUUUCUCACAAGGGAUGCCCAUUCUGUACCUGCACAAUACUGUCUUCCAUUUUCUUAUGAGUUUUGCAGCUUCAAGUAAAUGUAAAUAUAGUCCAAGGUUACCUAAUCUUAUACUACAAUUUCAGAGUUUCCUUAUAUGUUUUUUAUAGGUUCAACAGUACAUGUUC